AGUGAACGCUGGCGGCAGGCCUAACACAUGCAAGUCGAGCGGCAGCGCGGGGGCAACCCUGGCGGCGAGCGGCGGACGGGUGAGGAAUGCAUCGGAAUCUACCUCGUUGUGGGGGAUAACCUCGGGAAACCGGGACUAAUACCGCAUACGACCUACGGGUGAAAGUGGGGGACCUUCGGGCCUCACGCGAUGAGAUGAGCCGAUGCCGGAUUAGCUAGUUGGCGGGGUAAAGGCCCACCAAGGCGACGAUCCGUAGCUGGUCUGAGAGGAUGAUCAGCCACACUGGAACUGAGACACGGUCCAGACUCCUACGGGAGGCAGCAGUGGGGAAUAUUGGACAAUGGGCGCAAGCCUGAUCCAGCCAUGCCGCGUGUGUGAAGAAGGCCUUCGGGUUGUAAAGCACUUUUGUUGGGGAAGAAACCGGCCGGAUUAAUACUUCGGCUGAAUGACGGUACCCAAAGAAUAAGCACCGGCUAACUUCGUG
rnacentral:rRNA from 2 species